rnacentral:rRNA from 1 species
CCAGCAGCCGCGGUAAUUCCAGCUCCAAUAGCGUAUAUUAAAGUUGUUGCAGUUAAAAAGCUCGUAGUCGGAUUUUGGCAUCACGCCGUACUGUCUGCCGAUUGGUAUGCACGGUUUGGCGGGUGCUUCCUUCCGGAGGCUCGUUCCCUCCUUAACUGAAGGGUUCGUUGGUUCCGGUUCUUUUACUUUGAGAAAAUUAGAGUGUUCAAAGCAGGCCUACGCUUGAAUACAUUAGCAUGGAAUAAUGGAAUAGGACUUUGGUGCUAUUUUGUUGGUUUAUGGGACCGAAGUAAUGAUUAACAGGGACAGUUGGGGCCGUUUAUAUUUCGUUGUCAGAGGUGAAAUUCUUGGAUUUACGAAAGAUAAACUUCUGCGAAAGCAUUCGGCAAGGAUGUUUUCAU